rnacentral:rRNA from 1 species
UACAGAGGGUGCGAGCGUUGUCCGGAAUCACUGGGCGUAAAGGGCGCGUAGGCGGCCUGAUAAGUAGGGGGUGAAAUCCUGUGGCUUAACUGCAGGGCUGCCUCCUAGACUGUUAGGCUCGAGCACGGUAGAGGCAGAUGGAAUUCCCGGUGUAGCGGUGGAAUGCGUAGAGAUCGGGAAGAACAUCGGUGGCGAAGGCGGUCUGCUGGGCCGUUGCUGACGCUGAUGCGCGAAAGCUAGGGGAGCGAACGGG